rnacentral:rRNA from 1 species
GGCCAGACUCCUACGGGAGGCAGCAGUGGGGAAUAUUGGGCAAUGGGCGCAAGCCUGACCCAGCAACGCCGCGUGAAGGAAGAAGGCUUUCGGGUUGUAAACUUCUUUUAAGAGGGAAGAGUAGAAGACGGUACCUCUUGAAUAAGCCACGGCUAACUACGUGCCAGCAGCCGCGGUAAUACGUAGGUGGCAAGCGUUGUCCGGAUUUACUGGGUGUAAAGGGCGUGUAGCCGGGUUGACAAGUCAGAUGUGAAAUCCUGCGGCUUAACCGCAGAACUGCAUUUGAAACUGUUGAUCUUGAGUACUGGAGAGGCAGACGGAAUUCCUAGUGUAGCGGUGAAAUGCGUAGAUAUAAGCAAGAACGCCAGUGGCGAAGGCGGAUUACUGGACGAUAACUGACGGUGAGGCGCGAAAGCGUGGGG